rnacentral:rRNA from 1 species
CCUACGGGCGGCAGCAGUGAGGAAUAUUGGUCAAUGGGCGCGAGCCUGAACCAGCCAAGUAGCGUGAAGGAUGACUGCCCUACGGGUCGUAAACCUCUUUUGCCGGGGAGCAAGGGCCGGGACGAGUCCCGGUCCGGAGAGUACCCGGAGAAAAAGCAUCGGCUAACUCCGUGCCAGCAGCCGCGGUAAUACGGAGGAUGUGAGCGUUAUCCGGAUUUAUUGGGUUUAAAGGGUGCGUAGGCGGGCUUUUAAGUCAGCGGUAAAAAUUCGGGGCUCAACCCCGUCCGGCCGUUGAAACUGGGGGCCUUGAGUGGGCGAGAAGAAGGCGGAAUGCGUGGUGUAGCGGUGAAAUGCAUAGAUAUCACGCAGAACCCCGAUUGCGAAGGCAGCCUUCCGGCGCCCUACUGACGCUGAGGCACGAAAGUGCGGGGAUCGAACAGGAUUAGAUACCCUUGUAGUC